rnacentral:rRNA from 1 species
ACUCAAAGGAAUAGACGGGCACCCGCACAAGCGGUGGAGCAUGCCGUUUAAUUCGAAAAUACGCGAAAAACCUUACCUAGACUUGACAUCCCUGGCAAUACUAUGGAGACAUAGUGGAGGCUAUCCGGGUGACAGGUGGUGCAUGGUUGUCGUCAGCUCGUGUCGUGAGAUGUUCGGUUAAGUCCGCUAACGAGCGCAACCCUUGUCUUUAGUUGCUAACAUUCAGUUGAGAACUCUAAAGAGACUGCCGGUGAUAAACCGGAGGAAGGUGGGGAUGACGUCAAAUCAUCAUGCCCCUUACGUCUAGGGCAACAGGCGUGCUACAAUGGCCGGUACAAUGAGCUGCAACACAGUGAUGUGAAGCUAAUCUCAAAAGCCGGUCUCAGUUCGGAUUGUAGUCUGCAACUCGACUACAUGAAGUUGAAAUCGCUAGUAAUCCUGGAUCAGAAUGCCAGGGUGAAUACGUUCUCGGGUGUUGCACACACCGCCCGU